rnacentral:rRNA from 1 species
UCGGCUCAGAUUGAACGCUGGCGGCAGGCCUAACACAUGCAAGUCGAGCGGAUGACGGGAGCUUGCUCCUUGAUUCAGCGGCGGACGGGUGAGUAAUGCCUAGGAAUCUGCCUGGUAGUGGGGGACAACGUUUCGAAAGGAACGCUAAUACCGCAUACGUCCUACGGGAGAAAGCAGGGGACCUUCGGGCCUUGCGCUAUCAGAUGAGCCUAGGUCGGAUUAGCUAGUUGGUGGGGUAAUGGCUCACCAAGGCGACGAUCCGUAACUGGUCUGAGAGGAUGAUCAGUCACACUGGAACUGAGACACGGUCCAGACUCCUACGGGAGGCAGCAGUGGGGAAUAUUGGACAAUGGGCGAAAGCCUGAUCCAGCCAUGCCGCGUGUGUGAAGAAGGUCUUCGGAUAAGCACUUUAAGUUGGGAGGAAGGGCAGUAAAGUUAA